AGUUGACGUGAAGCCACUUCGGUGGUGGAAAGUAGCGCACGGGUGAGUAACGCGUGGGAAUUUACACUUCAGUACGGAACAACAGUUGGAAACGACUGCUAAUACCGUAUAAUGACUCCGGUCCAAAGAUUUAUCGCUGAAGGAUAAGCCCGCGUCUGAUUAGCUAGUUGGUGAGGUAAAGGCUCACCAAGGCAACGAUCAGUAGCUGGUUUGAGAGGAUGACCAGCCACACUGGAACUGAGACACGGUCCAGACUCCUACGGGAGGCAGCAGUGAGGAAUAUUGGACAAUGGGCGAAAGCCUGAUCCAGCCAUGCCGCGUGAGUGAAGAAGGCCUUCGGGUUGUAAAGCUCUUUCAAUCGUGAAGAUAAUGACGGUAGCGAUAGAAGAAGCUCCGGCUAACUCAGUGCCAGCAGCCGCGGUAAUACUGGGGGAGCGAGCGUUGUUCGGAAUCACUGGGCGUAAAGCGUGCGCAGGCGGAUUGACAAGUCAGAAGUGAAAUCCCAGGGCUCAACCCUGGAACUGCUUUUGAAACUGUCUUUCUAGAGUAUGGUAGAGGUUGGGAGAAUUCCUAGUGUAGAGGUGAAAUUCGUAGAUAUUAGGAGGAAUACCAGUGGC
rnacentral:rRNA from 1 species